UUUCCCCGGGGAGGGGCGAGGCGGGCUCCACUCCCUCUCCGCCGAAACGACCGGCUCCGGGAAGGAGGGAAGGAAGGAAGGACGGAGGGAAGGAGGGAGGCGGUCACCCAGGCUGCCGCUCUAUGGCCGUGCACAUAAACUACAGCUUUAGUUCCACUGGAGUAAACUGUAUUGGAGGAGUUUCUGGGAAUGAGAGAGAGAACGUCUGGGCUUUAUGUUCUACAAUGAGAGUAUGAGUACGUUAAAAGAAGACAAAGGAAAAAUUUACCAUUUCAUGCGUAGGCACCUACCAACCUGAUAUUUUAAAUAUGUUAUAGACAAUGGUUUUGAUCAUUAAUAAUGUGCAUACUGUAGUACACUAACAUAGAAUUCACCACUGCUUGUCCUGGCUGUCUAAAAUAAUGCUAAUUUGAAUUGGAUUUUCAAAUGAAAGUAAAAGGAUAAUACCUUUUAAAAUACCCUGGCCAGGAAAUCAAGUAGACUGAUCCCUGCCUGAUGUCCUUCAUAAGUAUGAAGUUUUGAUGCUUUUGAAUCUCUGGAAUAACUAAAUCAUGGAAGAAAUCAAGCUGUGUUUUAAGUGUAGAGGUUUAUAUGUAGCCAUACACAGUGUUUUACAAAUGGGUUAAAGGGGCAUUAAACUUUUAUUAAGAAUAUUUUCACUUAUGCAAGGUUAGAAUACACUGCCUAGUAAGUUAUGAUGUAAGUCACUGUUUUCACAUCUGCAUCUGAAAAUGGAGAGGGUUGAAAUUUAGCAGAUCUGCCUUCUGGAGUACUGUGAGCAAGCUUUAGAUUUGUCUGCUCACGAGCACUUCAAUUGGAGUCCUACAGCGUUAAGACCUUUAACAACUGAAAGCUGUGUUGAAUUUGGUACUAUUAUUUCUCAUCCUUGUGCAAUUUUGCAUGUUUCCAUUCAGAAAGUGGAAUAAAAGCAAGCUUGAGAUGUGUUCCUGCCUUCAUUUUUAGCACACCCAAGUCGAGAGGAAAACUCCAAGAUAUCACUUUGCACAGAAAAAGAUUGCCUCUUGGAGAGUUCAGUUACACAUGCUGUUCAAGUGAUCCUGACAAGGAUGAAUGGCAAGAAGCAUGCUGACAUUUCAAUAUUCCUUCAGCUCAACAGUUCAGAGUACAGUCACAGCAAGAAAAGCAACACGUGUAAUCACGAAUAGCUGGAGAUUCAUUUCACUAGAUUUUCCAAGAAUUUAAUUUUAAAUUGAAAGACCAUUGAACUCUUACUGAUCGGGAAUUGAACACUGUAGAGAUCCUUUAAACAACUUCUUGCAUUUAGAGAGCAUCGGGAGGAGGGGAGUUCACAGUAGAUAUAAAAGAUUUUUUUUCUGUGAAGGACUUCCUGAAUUGAUAAAGUUAUCCUGAGAUAUGCAUUUAGGGAAUUUUGUCCAUAAAGACAAUUUAGUUAGUCAAUGGGAACAACCAGAAGGAGUGUAGAAAGCACAGAUGAGUAUUUCUGGAAUUAUUUUUCCCCUACUAAUUCCUGUAUACCACUUCCUGUCCUUGGAAACAAGAAAAACUCGUGUAAAUUGGACCGAGGCCUUUUUUUUGGAGAGAGGAGGAUCAGCCCAUACCUCCUCCCAUGGUGUAAAACCCCAGGAAAUUCUACCCAGGUUUUUCUCUGCUUUUCAUGCUUUCCACGCUCCUAAAGCUUUUUGUUCAGCAGCCCCUUGAAGAAUGUGGCAUUUCCUUUGAGCUAAUGAAAUUGCAACAAGCAGCUGUAAGAUUUGGACUGAAUGAGCUGUUUCUCUGUGAGGAAAGAGUGCAGUUUCUUUCUGGGCAAAGGAAUAAAUAUUGUGAAGAAUAAACAGUGUGAGUUGCUGUAGUCUGAGGAAGGCAGAGGUUUGGGGCAGGCUUGAAGAGUUGCAAUAUAUUGGCACUGGGGAAGAGUAGGAGUGACAUAAAAUGCUACAGAAAAAAAGAUGUGAGGGAAGUCUAAAAAUGCUUGAAAAUGAUGCCUUAGGGAAAAUCUGAGUUGCUUCAGUUUUCAGCUGAGAAGCGUUGUGUACAGAUCUCACUCAGAGACCAGCUAGUGCAAAGCUCUGAUUCAAGGUGUGAGUUUGCUGUGAGAAAUUUUCCAUCCAUGUCAGGAUUUUGCCAACAUCUUGUAAAAAUGCUGCUUCAUCAGUCCAGACCUCGCUGGGAGCUGCAGACAUUUGCAGAUGUUUGAGUUUCAUUUCACUGUAUCACAGAACGGUUGGAAGGUAUCUCUGAAAACCAUAUAGUCCAACUCCCCCUGCCAAGGCAGGGUCACCUAGAGCAGGUGACACGGGAACAUGUCCAGGUAGGUUUUGAAUGAUUCCAGAGAGGGAGACUCCGUGAUCUGCCUCGGCAGCCCGUUCCAGUGCCCUGCCACCCUCAAUGUAAAGAAGUUCUUCCUCGUGUUGAGGUGGAACUUCUUGUGUUUUAGUUUAUCACCGUUACUCCUUGUCCUGUCACUGGGCACCACCAAAAAGAGUCUGACACCAUCCACUUCCACAACUGAGAUAGAGGAAGUUUGAUUACUGUUGCAUCAUCACAUUAUAAAUUUUAACUUUGUAUUUUUUUAUCAUAUGAAUCUUUUUCUUUUGAAUGAUACAAUCCUUUGAUCAUACUCGGUGAAAAAAUGCUGAACCCAGUGAAAGUGUAUGUGUGUAUGCAAAGUAAUGAGGUAAAAAAAUAUAGGAUAAGACCUCCAAUGUUGCUAUACUGCUAACAAAACUCAACAUUGAAUAAUUUAGCAAGAGGUCAUUGACACCAAAAGCACCAGAUUGCUUUGCAGUAGCAAUGUAUGAAUAAUGUGAAGCUAUUUCUGGGAGUCAGAAAAAGGAAUAGU